CUUCAUCCACCGAUAGACCUUGAACAAUUUGCUGUUGUUAUUUUGGCUUGCACUAGGAUGCAAAAAACUCCCUGCACUUUCUGUCUGUCUUUGUGGCAGCCCAGAUUGAAUGAGCGAAUAUAUCU